CAUUCUGUGCUGAGUCUUGUUAGAGUUUAAGAAUUGACAAAUUCAAUUAUCAUAUUAGUAUUAAUGUCGUAGAAUUGACUUAAGUGCAACUUCAAUUUGAAAUAUUAUUUAUAAGAAUUAUUUACUAUUGUCAAGACUAGAAUAAUAAUUAUUAGAAAUGAAUUACUUUAAAUAAAAAUUAUAAUAUUAUACAGCACUACAAAUUUGUUUAAUCUUUUAAAAAAUUAUGGCUAACCAGAAAUUAUAACUUCAGUCUCUGUAACAAUUGUUGUUACAAAAUGAAACACAUAUUUUCUUUCUAAAUUACAAGCAAAUAUAUUUAUAUAUUGAUAUUCAAAUUACACGUUUACAAAUUUAAGUAAUUACAAUUAUGAAAGCUUUGUGUCAUAAAUGUACGAACAUGUACGAGGUGAAAUUAUAAGUACAAUAUUUAUUUUGCGCGGGUGGAACAAAAUCUCGAGAAAUCGAAAUCGAAUGCAAUCGAAGUGUUGCAGUGCGAGCAGUCGUAAACUGUCUGCCAUCAGGGUUGACUAGUUUAACGCGUAUGCAUCUUCCUUGUUCAUUCGAAGUAUUAAUAAUAAAGUGUGCGAAUUCUCCGAAUACCAUAAGUCAACGAAUUGACGAACUCUUGUUGGUGAAUACGUCGAAGAGAACAAAGCUCAUAUACAAAGAUGUGUGGUGGCUUCACCUGUUCCAAAAAUGCAUUGACGGCACUAAAUAUCCUUUAUAUCGUGGUUGCAUUUAUUCUCAUUGGUGUUGCUGUUUAUGGAAGAGCAUCUGCAUUAGUUACAAAUCUCCCCAUAAUUGGAGGUAUUUUAGCAUGUGGGGUGAUUCUGAUUCUAAUUUCAAUACUUGGACUCAUUGGUGCUGUUAAACAUCACCAAGUUUUAUUAUUCUUUUAUAUGUUUAUUCUAUUUUUGCUGUUCUUGAUUCAGUUUAGUAUUGCUUGUGCUUGUCUUGCUGUUAAUACCAAACAACAAGAACAGUUAGCAGAACAGGGUUGGAGGCGUGUUGGAGACGAUUUAAAAGCAAAGGUUCAGACUACUUUUACUUGUUGUAGCUUUAAUAAUACUAACAUAAUUUCAGAAGAUAAUCAUCCACUGUCUUGCAACAAAGUUAAUAAAAUUUGUUGCCCUUAUCCUUCCGACACUGAUUGUAUGUGCCCAUCAUGUAUGCUGAAGUUACAAUCUACGAUUGAUUACGCAUUUAAAUUAUGUGGAAGCAUAGGAUUGUUCUUUAGUUUUACAGAGUUUAUUGGUGUAUGGUUGACCGUGCGAUACAGGAACCAGAAAGAUCCAAGAGCUAAUCCUAGUGCUUUUCUCUAGUCUAACACCAUCGCUAUGUCCUCUGUCACCUCAUAUGAUCGUCCUAAUAGAUGGUGAUUGCAGCUUUCUUGACAAGACGUUACAGAAAUCAAUUAAAUCCACAUCAAAAUGAUGUUUCUUUUUCGGCAUAAUAAUUUUUAUUAUAAAAUGGCUUAUAUAAUUUAACACCUUAACAAUGGAUGACUCAGUAUUGCGACAAGUGAAUCUUAAUAUAAAAUAUGAAAUAUAAAUUAAAUUUUUUAUUGGAAAUAAAAAAAAGGUGCUCAAUAAAUUAAAAAUAAUUUCAAACAUUUUUUAUGAACAAAAAGUAAAUGAUUGAUAUAUUCAAUAGAAAAUAUAAAUUUUCAGCAUAACAGUCCCGUCGUUAAGGUGUUUAUUUACAACACUUUUUUAGACCAAACUAGUAUGUGUAUUGAGUUACUAUAUUUUUUCUUAGUAAUUCUUUAUACUAUUAAGUAAACCAGUGUUAAUCGUUACGGUACGGUAUCUAGAAUUAUUUAAUUAUUUGAGAACCAAAGAUUUGUUUUUUAUCUUAUAUUAUCUUGCAUAUCAUAUAAUUUAGAAGGAACUGUUUGUCUUUCACUGCAGUUUAUAAUGCUCAACAGGAAAUAUACCUUUGAGGGGUGAAUAAUUAUACAACUUAGCACGAAAUAAAUGACCGACAGUCGAAAUGUGUGCUCUAGUCAUCCAUUUAGAACAAUUGUACUAAGCCUCAAUGCGCCUUGUAGUGUAAUAAUUAGAUACUUUUCUGCCGACGCAUUUCCACAAAACUUGCUUACAUUACUUCUACAAAAUAUUUUACAAACAUGGUUCAUUACUUACCAUUAUUAAUAACAUGAUCUCUUAUCAAGGACCCAGAAUUUUGUUAUAAGUUUAAAAGUUUACAUAUUACAGUAAAAUUGUUUUUUAAUGAUCUAAUGCUUUCUAAACAAUUGUGUUUUAAGUUUGUUAUGACGAGUGACUAAUUUAAAAUGUUUACAACUUUUUCCAAAUACUCAACAGCAUAUACAUUUGAUAACAAUAUAUUCUUUCAUUAGUAUGUACUUUGAAUUUGCUUUAAAUUAUUUACUAAUGAUAUCGCGCUAAUGAAUCAAACAUUUUAAUCCUAUAAUGGAAAGUACAACAUAACGCGAUAAAAAUAUUAAACACAUAAAUCUUUCAUCGUGGUAUAUUAUCAUAUUACUGCCGCACAUAUUAUAAUAAUAUCAUAAUCAAUAUAUUACAAGUUUUUAAUUCGUAUUAAUUCCUUUCAAGUUUUCAUAUUUACUUUACAUCUCUGAAAAAUCUGUUAUAUUAUAUUAUACGUUUAUUUAUUGGUAACAUACAUUUAAAGCAAAUGUUGUAAUUGAUUAUUCUGCAAUUUUGUUAUAUAUCAUGAUUUGACUGCAGAUAUUUAUAAAGAUAUAUACUUUUAUGAAUUAAUAUAAGGAAAUUAUUUAAUUUCCAAAUUUAUUUUGUUUCUUAUCAAUUUAGUUUGAUGUUUUUAAUAUAUUUAGUCACAACAUGUGAUGUGUUAAGUAGACAUGUUGUGCAGUCUAUAUUAAUUAUCAGAAUAAUUAAUCUAUAAUCAUAAUAAUAAACGUACUUCCAAAAUGUAUUACUGUAAUAAUUUAUGAUAUAAUUUACUUUCGUGUAAAUCAUAUAAAUUACUUUCAUCUUGCAGAUAAUUGAAAUUUAACACGAACAAAUGAUAUAUAUAUAUAUUUAUCACGCUUAGAACAUGUAUACCUAUGUAUGAUAGAAUAAUCUUUAAGGGAUACGCGAAGAUUAAGUGUGCAAACCUUGCACAUUAUUUUAACAUUUGUUUUAUUGGAUUAUAAUAUUUUUGACCUCAUAAAAAAUUCGUAGCUAUGAAUUUAGUUUAUGUUAAAAUUAGAAUUUGAAAAAACUUUAUAUUUUAAUUACAAGAUAGAAAUACAGCCUCAAACUAAGUUAUGAAUUAUAUGUAACGCGUUGUAUUAGAAAAUUUGCUUUCCGUCUUCAAAUCGUAUAGAUUAUAUUAAUCCUUUAUUACAUGAAUUAUGAAACUUUAUGAAAAACUUUAAAAGUCCAGAUAUGACAUAUAAAAUUAAUGUAUCAACAUGGCAAAUGUCAAAAACAAAAUUAAAGAUAAAUUUUAUUCAAAUUAAAUAUUUUUUAUUUUAUCUAAGAAAUAAUAAAUUUAAACAUGAUAUUUUAGACAUAUGAUUAAAUAUAUUACAUAAACAUAUAUGUAACAUGUAAUAAAGGGUUAGUAUUGAAAUAUUCUAAUUUUUAUAUGUUACUAUUUUUAUCAAAAGCAUGUCUUAUAACUCCACAAAAUAGACGUCAUGAGUUAUAUCUAAAUUUGCAAUUACUU